CUCGGUCUUGCGGAAUGUCAUGUUGACAGCCUAAUUAAUCAGAUCAAAAGCUCUCCCUCUAAUGUCCCAGCCUACACCAAAACCAACGUGUCUUAAACUUUCGACAAUGGGCCUUUUAUUAAAUGUAUAUUGUUUCGUGACUGACUGGACAAGCAUGACAUGUAUUUCGAAGCGCUAAUCAAAGGUAAAAUACGUGAAAAGCUCCUCCAUGUCAUGGGCAUCUAGGAAGAUAUGAGUAUCAGCAACAGUGGUUUUGUAUAUGGCACUUCCACUCAUCCCACUGCAUGACAAAAACAAACUCUGUGGCCCACUUCCCGGCCGAGGCUCAAAUUUAGAGGAUCAGAACAGCUCCACAAGCAUUCGUUGCCUUAUGAUCACCAGUGUCGUGUCUUUUUAAGCGUCAGCCAUUCAACUCGGUCAGCGCAAGCUGCAACAGAUAUGGCCGAAAACAGAAGCAAUGCGUCGCAUCCGAAAGAUCACUGUCGUUUCGAGCCGGAACAGGUGCGUCCCAGUAUUCCUCAUCAUAAGAAUUCCGUCAUCUUCUUUCAGGUUCUGGCCAUUGUAUCUGUCCUCUUCAUUGUGGUCUCCACCACGUCCCUGGUGCUCAACACUUUGCCCAGUCUCCAGGACGAUGGAGGUGAUAACAAAUAUCUCUCCCAAGUGGAGACAGUCUGCAUCACUUGGUUCACCCUGGAGUACCUCUUGCGUUUCGCCGCUUCUCCCAACAAGUGGCAGUUCUUCAAGGGUGCCAUGAAUAUCAUCGACUUGUUGGCGAUCAUGCCUUAUUACGUGUCUCUCUUUCCGCUGGACUCCAGCAAAAAGGAGAAUCAAUUUGACGACGUUCGUCGCGUCAUAGCCAUAUUCCGAAUCAUGCGAAUUUUGCGGAUCCUCAAGUUGGCGCGCCACUCAACUGGCUUGCAGAGUCUGGGCUUCACACUGAAGAAUUCGUACAAGGAGCUCGGCUUGCUCCUGAUGUUUCUGGCCAUCACUGUGCUCAUCUUCUCGAGCCUCGCUUACUUUGCCGAGAAAGAUUGCAACAAAAAAGACUACGGGAGCAUUCCGGAGACAUUCUGGUGGGCCCUGAUCACCAUGACCACGGUCGGGUACGGUGACGCCUUUCCCCGAACCCCACUAGGCAAGGGGGUGGGAGCGGUUUGCGCCAUAUGUGGUGUGCUGGUCAUUGCCCUGCCCAUCCCCAUCAUCGUCAACAACUUCGCCGAGUUCUACAAGAGCCAGAUGAUGCGCGAAAAGGCGAUGAAGCGGCGCGAGGCGCUGGAGAAGGCGCGUCGAGACGGCAGCGUCGCCAGCUUCCACGACGUCAACCUGCGGGACGCCUUCGCCAAGUCGGUCGACAUCGUGGACGUCAUGGUUGAGCCAGGAGACAAGCCUUCUGAUGGUGGCGCAGCAGACCUGAACAAAGUGGACGCCAAAAACGCCCAGCCGCCAGAGCCUGGACCCAACCAGCUGCAGACACGGGCGGACAGCCCCGGCACGCCGGCGGCCGGGUCGCCGGCGUCGGUCAAGCGAGGUCACGGCACGCCAGAGCCCCGGCUGCAGGGCAUGUCGUACGCGCUCAACUCCAUCUCGCCGGCGGAUAUUUUGAAGCCGGGGGGCGAGCCGACGCCCCCGUCCGACCCCAGCCAACCCUGGUCCUCCGGCAUCGAGCUGCAGACCAUGCCCAAGACUCAGCCGCCAGCGUCCGACGCCCCCGCCGAGCCUCACCCGGACCUGCUCAGUCUGGCGAGCAGUGACACCUUCUCUACCUGUCGGACGCACCCGUUCCCGUCCGAGGGCGACCUGACGGCCGGCGCGCCGCCCGAGCGCACAGCCGACAGCGGACAGCCCGAGCGGACAGCGGACGGCGCGACGCCCGGCCCGGCGAACGGCCGGGACUCGGCGGCCUCUCGCCGUGCCGGGCCCCACGAGGCGGAGGUGGCCGUGUCUCCUCGCCUGCUCGUGAGUCACAGGAGAGCCGGCCCACUGGCGGUGGUGCAGACGUGAGCCGACCCGGCCGGAGUCGGUCGGCGCGUGCCGACCCCGAGGCCGAACAGCUUCUUCGCCGCUCGGUCAUCUCCGACAGCCUGCCCGUCACCCCUCCUCCGGACCCAAGCCCGGACCCGGCACUGCUGCCCGGCCUAGCCUCCCCGCUGCGGCCGGCGCCGGCUCCCGUCCCCGGUCCCGAUCCGGCGCCGCUCCCGACCAGUGCCGUCGGCGCCGUGCCGGGCGCUGGCUCCUCGCCCCAGUCGGCGCCGGCGUCCGGCGGCGGCCGGCGGGGUCUGGGCGCUCUCCGCUGUCCGGACCCCACCUGUCUGUACAGCACGAUGGCGCUGCAGUCGCCGUCCCGCGGCGCCGUCUGCCUGUGCGGCAGCCACAUGAGCGGCGCCGCAGCCGAGCCGGGCGUCUCCGCCGUCCUGCCGGCCGUCUCGUCAUAACGCAAGGCGUGGUCGCACCAGACGGACAGGCCAUCCGGCGACAGAGUGAAGACGGUGCCGAAGGCCUGGCUGACGUUCGGCGAUCGGGACUGCUGACGCGACUGGCGUGGCUGACGAGGCUGACGUAGCUGACGUGGCCGACGUGGCUGACGUCCGGCCGUGCUGAGGGCCGCGCCAAUGCGAGCCCGAUGCCGUGCAUCCGCCGCUCUCUCGACCCCAGACGUCCGCGUGUCGCGACGCCAUCGCGAGGCCGUCCAAGCCGGCUGUCGGUGGGCCGGGCGC